rnacentral:ncRNA from 2 species
AGGUGCGACGAUGCCGGGGCUGUAGGGGUACGCGAGGAAGCCGGUGCGAAUCCGGCACGGUCCCGCCACUGUGACCGGGCACCAGGCCCGGGAGUCAGGAACUCGGGCCCCGAUCUCACCGCACC